AUGGUUUAAACCCAGACUACAGAUAAUACACACAAAGCCAUUUGAUCAGUCUUCCAGCUGGUGGGAGAGGAGAGAGAAUCAGAAGCAUAAAAAGAUGCCACCAGUUUGGUUGAAGUGCUCAGCUGUACCCUGCAAGCCAUUUGGAAGCAUCUGUGUCCAGCACAGGGCAGUCCUGGCCUUGACUCAGAGACCAGACUAUGGACUCCCACUAUCAGCCGUUGGGGCCUUGUCAAAUGUGGGUUCAGGAGCUGGAAAAACAGGAAAGAAGCCAGCAACUGAAGGCUGGUGAGCUUGCUUUUAUUGCUGCUUCGCCACUGGUUCCUGCUUCUCCUUCUGUUUCCUUGGAAACAGAUACUGGGCAAGCGAAAACAAGGGAGUGAGAGGACUUCAGUGCUUUAGAAGGCCUUCUGGUUGAAAGAAGCAACACAGUAGAAGACCUUUCAUUAAAAGACAUGACAGUAUCUUAACUUCCAUAUCCAGAAGAAACAUGAAAAUAAUGUGCUGGAUUGACUUUGAUGUUCUGGAGGUUAACUUUACCUCGUUUAUGAAGCCUUCUUGAAUCCAUGCACUUGUUUCUACUGUUGACCAGAUCUGUUCUUCUUCUGAAAGAAGAAGAUCUCUCUUUAUUCUUUAGACCAAAAAGUUAAAUUACAUGGGCUCACCUUUCCUGGUCUUGUUUGGCUUUCAGUAGGUAAAUACACUGCUUCAUGGUAUUUCGAUUCACAGACCCAUAUUUCAAUCACUAUUAAAAUAGGUCUUGGUUCAGAAAAGAGGGAUUUGUGUUUGAACUCCUUUUUUUUUCCUCUAGAGAGCAGAUCACUGAGCUAGGAAUCAUAUUUGUCCAAUGAUAAAAAAAGCAUGUUUUAUAAUUCAUACCAAAGUCUAACAGUACCUAAGACCAUAAGCGCUUCAAAUGCGAAAAAACAGUGUUCAGCAGUAAUGGAGAGAGCUACAACAUCCAAAGGGAAGGGCAAUGAUAUAGUUCUCUUGCAAUGAAUGAAGUUACAGCAUGAAACCAAAGUCUUCCCUUUCUAUUAUUCCUGUGGAUGCAAAAGCAUUAAUCAAGUGUUUGAUAGCUUUGGGCACAGCCACUGUGUUAAUGUUCUGCCUAAGACCCGAAACCUUUAUUGAUAUCACACAAGCUGCAGAUCUGGGCAUGUUUAUCUGAUCUAAAAUUAACUUCAGAAGUAAAGGAUGAUUGACUAGAUAGCACUGAGGCAUAAUAGUUAAAAUACACUUGUCAUAUUCAAUGCAAAUUCUUAAAACAACAAAUAGAUACUUGUCAAAACUUGUCAUUUGUAUGCUAUUGCAUGAUGAUAAAAUGCAUGGUGUUUUAGGUGCCUCUUGUCAACAGGAUAUAAUUAACUGCGGCUACAUUUAGGUAGUGUUUUUGCUGAAAAGAUCAACAGUUCUGAUUCUCUCUGCAGGGAGUGUGUUUGUUUAGAGAGGUUCUUAGCUUUUCUAAAACUCUGUCAUCUGGUUCUCUCCAGGGGUUUCAAAGCAAUCAUCCCUCUAUUCCAAGACCUAGUAACAAACCUCAAACUUAACAAACCAAAAAUUAACACCUGCACAAACUCACUGAAACAUAUUUGGGUUUUUCUACUUGUAAAAGCAUCUUCUGUUUUAUGCAGUUUAAUUCCAGGCUUUGUUUAGUGAUUACUGCUCUCUACUUCAUGCUGAAGCAAAAUUAAUAAUUUUUUUGUAAGAAUAUUUUAUGUUUAGGUGAAAUCCAACUUGGGAUAAAAGCCUGAUUUUUUUUUCUUUUUUCUGUCUUAUAUUUGCAUAGUGAAUAAUAAAAUUCUCACAUGCCUCAAUACAGUAUAUUUCAUGAUCAUUAAGAAAUCUCUUAACUAAAAGCAUACCUAAAUUUGAGGCUUUGCAGGUUUGUAAUGAGACACAAAAUCUUAGUGAGUAUAAAGCUGCUUUAGACACUGCACCUCAAUAUGCAUUGAGAUCUGUUUUUCUUGUGGAACUCAAGGUGACACAUUUUAUUACACUUGAUAAUACAUUUGACACAGCCCACAUUUUUUGAGACCCAAAACUCAGCCUUGAAGUGAAAUUAGUGUGUGCUGUAGCUCCACUGUUUAACUCAUGUAAAGCACUCUUUCCUUUGUUUUUCCCCAGGUGUCCCAUCAGUAAAUGAGAAUUUCCAUUGGGAGAAGUUUAAAGGAGUUCAGUAGUUUAAAAAGCUAACUUUGAAUACACAAGGUUUAGUUUCCCAUGCUUUCAUGAUAGUUGUGAGCAACAUAGGUUUCUGUAGAGAGUAAUUUAGGACAUUUAUUUAAUGCAAAGGAGUUCCAACAGACCCUCCAAAUCUUGUAUCUCUGCAUUAUAUCUGAAGCAGAAUAUGGCUCUGUGAAGCCACAAUGAUUACAUCUCUAACUUCUAUUAAUUGUUUUGCUUUAUCAUUUUAAGAAAAAAAAAAAAAAAACAAAACAAAGGAAAUACCUCGUGUUUUAGAAGUUGAACAUUAUUUUCAUAUUCUUAAUUAAUAAACAAAACAUUUGUACAAUCCAAGUAGAUACUAUGUGCUCCACUGAUGUUUUUGUAAAAGGCUUGUGAACAUAUUUUACAUUAUAUAUUCUGCACUUUUUUUUCUUUAAGUCACUGCUUUGCGAAUAUUUGUAUUUUUUCUAUUGUUAUCAUGAAGUGGCCCUAGAAUUCAAAGCAAUUUUUUUCAAUACUCAAAAUAUAAUUACCUUGGCUACUUAGCUAAGAGAUUAAGUAAAUGUCACAAUCCUUCCUCCUCAGAAUUUUCUUAUCAAAAAUCUUCAAAAGAACAGACUUUCAUUUAACCAGAGGAGCCAAAGACACAUAGAAUAGGCUUUUGGAGAACUAUUUUUGAUUCUUGUAAGAAUAUAAGAACUUCCCAACAGAAAUGUUAUUUAUUAACUGAGAAUGUAGUCAAUUGUGAUUUGUAAGUAACUGUCCCAGCAACUUACUCUCAAGAGAAUAUGCCUUUCACCCAAAGCUACAGAAAAUAGCUACAUGUCACCAGUUUUGUAAUUUCAUUGUAUUGAAUUUCUAUAUGAAUGCUAAGAAGCUACCAAUGAGU